rnacentral:rRNA from 1 species
UACAGAGGUCCCAAGCGUUGUUCGGAUUCACUGGGCGUAAAGGGUGCGUAGGCGGUCGGGUAAGUCUGACGUGAAAUCUUCAAGCUUAACUUGGAAACUGCGUCGGAUACUAUUCGGCUAGAGGAAUGGAGGGGAGACUGGAAUACUUGGUGUAGCAGUGAAAUGCGUAGAUAUCAAGUGGAACACCAGUGGCGAAGGCGAGUCUCUGGACAUUUCCUGACGCUGAGGCAUGAAAGCCAGGGGAGCAAACGGG